UUGGAAAAAUUUGAUCCUGGCUCAGGACGAACGCUGGCGGCGUGCCUAAUACAUGCAAGUCGAGCGGACAGAAGGGAGCUUGCUCCCGGAUGUUAGCGGCGGACGGGUGAGUAACACGUGGGUAACCUGCCUGUAAGACUGGGAUAACUCCGGGAAACCGGAGCUAAUACCGGAUAGUUCCUUGAACCGCAUGGUUCAAGGAUGAAAGACGGUUUCGGCUGUCACUUACAGAUGGACCCGCGGCGCAUUAGCUAGUUGGUGGGGUAAUGGCUCACCAAGGCGACGAUGCGUAGCCGACCUGAGAGGGUGAUCGGCCACACUGGGACUGAGACACGGCCCAGACUCCUACGGGAGGCAGCAGUAGGGAAUCUUCCGCAAUGGACGAAAGUCUGACGGAGCAACGCCGCGUGAGUGAUGAAGGUUUUCGGAUCGUAAAGCUCUGUUGUUAGGGAAGAACAAGUGCGAGAGUAACUGCUCGCACCU
rnacentral:rRNA from 1 species